rnacentral:rRNA from 1 species
GAUGAACGCUGGCGGCGUGCCUAAUACAUGCAAGUCGAGCGGACGGACGAGAAGCUUGCUCCUCUGAUGUUAGCGGCGGACGGGUGAGUAACACGUGGAUAACCUACCUAUAAGACUGGGAUAACUUCGGGAAACCGUAGCUAAUACCGGCUAAUAUUUUGAACCGCAUGGUUCAAAAGUGAAAGACGGUCUUGCUGUCACUUAUAGAUGGAUCCGCGCUGCAUUAGCUAGUUGGUAAGGUAACGGCUUACCAAGGCAACGAUGCAUAGCCGACCUGAGAGGGUGAUCGGCCACACUGGAACUGAGACACGGUCCAGACUCCUACGGGAGGCAGCAGUAGGGAAUCUUCCGCAAUGGGCGAAAGCCUGACGGAGCAACGCCGCGUGAGUGAUGAAGGUCUUCGGAUCGUAAAACUCUGUUAUUAGGGAAGAACAUAUGUGUAAGUAACUGUGCACAUCUUGACGGUACCUAAUCAGAAAGCCCCGGCUAACUACGUG